rnacentral:rRNA from 1 species
CAGCAGCCGCGGGAAUACGUAGGGUGCGAGCGUUAAUCGGAAUUACUGGGCGUAAAGCGUGCGCAGGCGGUUUUGUAAGACAGAGGUGAAAUCCCCGGGCUCAACCUGGGAACUGCCUUUGUGACUGCAAGGCUAGAGUACGGCAGAGGGGGAUGGAAUUCCGCGUGUAGCAGUGAAAUGCGUAGAUAUGCGGAGGAACACCGAUGGCGAAGGCAAUCCCCUGGGCCUGUACUGACGCUCAUGCACGAAAGCGUGGGGAGCAAAAAGGAUUAGAGACCCGUGUAGUCCCUGUCUCUUAUAA